AUUGAAAGCUGGCGGCAGGCCUAACACAUGCAAGUCGAACGAGUGGCGGACGGGUGAGUAAUGUCUGGGAAACUGCCUGAUGGCGGGGGAUAACUACUGGAAACGGUAGCUAAUACCGCAUACCAUCGGAUGUUCCCAGAUGGGAUUAGCUAGUAGGUGGGGUAAAGGCUCACCUAGGCGACGAUCCCUAGCUGGUCGGAGAGGAUGACCAGCGACACUGGAACUGAGACACGGUGCAGACUCCUACGGGAGGCAGCAGUGGGGAAUAUGGCACAAUGGGCGCAAGCCUGAUGCAGCCAUGCCGCGUGUAUGAAGAAGGCCUUCUGGUUGUAAAGUACUUUCAGCGGGGAGGCGUUACCCGCAGAAGAAGCACCUGCUAACUCCGUGCCAGCAGACGCGGUAAUUC
rnacentral:rRNA from 1 species